rnacentral:tRNA from 2 species
CAGUCCCUCUAUCCCCA